rnacentral:rRNA from 1 species
CCUACGGGGUGCAGCAGGGAGGAAUAUUGGUCAAUGGACGCAAGUCUGAACCAGCCAGGCAGCGUGCAGGAUGACGGCGCGAUGAGGGGUAAACUGCUUUUGUACGAGGGUAAACCCAGAUACGUGUAUCGGGUUGAAAGUAGCGUACGAAUAAGGAGCGGCUAACUCCGUGCCAGCAGCCGAGGUAAUACGGAGGAUCCGAGCGUUAUCCGGAUUUAUUGGGUUUAAAGGGUGAGUAGGCGGUUUGAUAAGUUAGAGGUGAAAUGUCGGGGCUAAACCCCGAACCUGCCUCUAAUACUGUUGGACUAGAGAAUAGUUGCGUUAUGCGGAAUGUAUGGUGUAGCGGUGAAAUGCUUAGAGAUCAUACAGAACACCGAUUGCGAAGGCAGCUUCCCCACCUCUAUCUGACGUUGAGGCCCGACAGCGUGGGUAGCAAACCGGAUUAGAUACCCUUGUAGUC